UACGUAGGGAGCAAGCGUUGUCCGGAAUCAUUGGGCGUAAAGCGCGCGUAGGUGGCCCCGUAAGUCCGCUGUGAAAGUCAAAGGCUCAACCUUUGAAAGCCGGUGGAUACUGUGGGGCUAGAGUACGGAAGAGGCGAGUGGAAUUCCUGGUGUAGCGGGUGGAAUGCGCAGAUAUCAGGAGGAACACCAAUAGCGAAGGCAGCUCGCUGGGACGGUACUGACGCUAAGGCGCGAAAGCGUGGGAGCGAACGAGG
rnacentral:rRNA from 1 species